rnacentral:rRNA from 1 species
ACGUUAAUCGGCGCAGGGUGAGUCGGCCCCUAAGGCGAGGACGAAAGUCGUAGUCGAUGGGAAGCAGGUUAAUAUUCCUGCACCUCGCGUAAGUGCGAUGGAGGGACGGAGAAGGUUAGGCAUACCGGGCGUUGGUUGUCCCGGGGAAAGGCGGUAGGUUUGGAUCUUUGGCAAAUCCGGGAUCCUUUAAGACCGAGCACCGAGACGAGCCUUUAUGGCGAAGUUGCUGAUACCACGCUUCCAGGAAAAGCUCCUAAGCUUCAGCUUACGCAGACCGUACCGUAAACCGACACAGGUGGGUAGGAUGAGAAUUCUCAGGCGCUUGAGAGAACUCGGGUGAAGGAACUAGGCAACAUGGCACCGGAACUUCGGGAGAAGGUGCACCCUUUUUGGUGGCUCGUGCGAGCUAUAGCUGAAGAGGGUCGCAGUAACCAGGCCGCUGCGACUGUUUAUCAAAAACACAGCACUCUGCAAACACGAAAGUGGACGUAUAGGGUGUGACGCCUGCCCGGUGCUGGAAGGUUAAUUGAUGGGGUCAGCCGCAAGGCGAAGCUCUUGAUCGAAGCCCCAGUAAACGGCGGCCGUAACUAUAACGGUCCUAAGGUAGCGAAAUUCCUUGUCGGGUAAGUUCCGACCUGCACGAAUGGCGUAACGACAGCGGCGCUGUCUCCACCCGAGACUCAGUGAAAUUGAAAUCGCUGUGAAGAUGCAGCGUUCCCGUGGCAAGACGGAAAGACCCCGUGAACCUUUACUAUAGCUUUACACUGAACGUUGAGUUCGUCUGUGUAGGAUAGGUGGGAGGCUAUGAAACUGUGGCGCUAGCUGCAGUGGAGCCAUCCUUGAAAUACCACCCUGUCGUGCUUGACGUUCUAACCUGGGCCCAUUAUCUGGGUCGGGGACCGUGUAUGGUGGGUAGUUUGACUGGGGCGGUCUCCUCCUAAAGAGUAACGGAGGAGCUCGAAGGUACGCUCAGCGCGGUCGGACAUCGCGCACUGUGUGCAAAGGCAUAAGCGUGCUUGACUGCAAGAUCGACGGAUCAAGCAGGUAGGAAACUAGGACUUAGUGAUCCGGUGGUUCUGUAUGGAAGGGCCAUCGCUCAACGGAUAAAAGGUACUCCGGGGAUAACAGGCUGAUACCGCCCAAGAGUUCAUAUCGACGGCGGUGUUUGGCACCUCGAUGUCGGCUCAUCACAUCCUGGGGCUGUAGUCGGUCCCAAGGGUAUGGCUGUUCGCCAUUUAAAGUGGUACGCGAGCUGGGUUCAGAACGUCGUGAGACAGUUCGGUCCCUAUCUGCCAUGGGCGUUGGAGAUUUGAGAGGGGCUGCUCCUAGUACGAGAGGACCGGAGUGGACGAACCUCUGGUGUUCCGGUUGUCACGCCAGUGGCAUUGCCGGGUAGCUAUGUUCGGAAGCGAUAACCGCUGAAAGCAUCUAAGCGGGAAGCGCGCCUCAAGAUGAGAUCUCCCGGGGCACAAGCCCCCUGAAGGAACCAUGUAGACUACGUGGUUGAUAGGUCAGGUGUGUAAGUACAGCAAUGUAUUGAGCUAACUGAUACUAAUGAUCCGAGAGGCUUGACCAUAUAACCUCA